GUGGGUUCCUCCAGGCCUGCGCUGGUGGUUGAGUGAUGUAAUCACGCGGGGUCUGAGGUCUCCGUGAGUGUAGGUUUCGUCGUUGUGCUGAUGACAAGCAGUGCCCGAACUCUAGGCUGGGAAUUGUGCCAGGCUGCUGCUUUCGUGGCUGACCGGAAAGGGGCAGAAGGAUUGAAGUUUACGAAGUUUUUGAAUCAGGAGGCAAGGUCGCCUUGUGCCCCCAAAAGGGUGGAAAAAGGCCUGGCUAACUGGAGAAUCGCGUCCUUACGGUAUCCUGUGUUUUCUAGUUGAACGCUUGUGAAAAUUCGCUUUAUCCUUGAAGUUCAGAAUUUUCACCAAGAUGUAUGAUGACCCUGUCCUCGAUGGAUCAGCCGGCACCACCCAGAUAGAUAAAUUGGCUCAUCUGAUCUUGUGGCCCCCAUCCAGGAAGUGACUCAGUGCAAGAAGACAGCUUCGACUCCGUAUGAUUUCAUCUCUGACCUGACCAAUCAGCACU